GGUGAGUAACACGUUAGUAACCUGCCCUUGACUUUGGGAUAACUUCAGGAAACUGGGGCUAAUACCGGAUAGGAGCUCCUGCUGCAUGGUGGGGGUUGGAAAGUUUCGGCGGUUGGGGAUGGACUCGCGGCUUAUCAGCUUGUUGGUGGGGUAGUGGCUUACCAAGGCUUUGACGGGUAGCCGGCCUGAGAGGGUGACCGGCCACAUUGGGACUGAGAUACGGCCCAG
rnacentral:rRNA from 1 species